CCUACGGGUGGCAGCAGUGAGGAAUAUUGGUCAAUGGACGAGAGUCUGAACCAGCCAAGUAGCGUGAAGGAUGACUGCCCUAUGGGUUGUAAACUUCUUUUAUAUGGGAAUAAAAUGUUCCACGUGUGGGCUUUUGUAUGUACCCUAUGAAUAAGGAUCGGCUAACUCCGUGCCAGCAGCCGCGGUAAUACGGAGGAUCCGAGCGUUAUCCGGAUUUAUUGGGUUUAAAGGGUGCGUAGGUGGUUUGUUAAGUCAGUUGUGAAAGUUUGCGGCUCAACCGUAAAAUUGCAGUUGAAACUGGCAGUCUUGAGUGCAGUAGAGGUAGGCGGAAUUCGUGGUGUAGCGGUGAAAUGCUUAGAUAUCACGAAGAACUCCGAUUGCGAAGGCAGCUCACUGGACUGCAACUGACACUGAGGCUCGAAAGUGUGGGUAUCAAACAGGAUUAGAUACCCGAGUAGUC
rnacentral:rRNA from 1 species